UAGCUUAACCGCACCUCUGCCCCACUAAUACCGGCGAAUUGAAACCCUCCUUCCCCUUUCUCCCUCCCCGAAAAACCAUCCCAAUUUCAAACCCCAGCCUCUUCGAACCACCACGAAGACCACUCGAAAACCAAUUUCGAACCCCAGCCUCUUCGAACCACCACGAAUACCACCCGAAACCCCAUUUAAAUUGGCUGAUUGAAUUGGAGCUUGUGGCUGCAUUUUAGGGUUGAAUUGAUGCUUGUGGUUGCGAUUUGUGGGGCUACGACAUCACGGUGGCUCGGAGGUUAGGGUAAUUGUGGAAUUAGUGAAGUGGUGGUUGUUGUGGGAUAUGUUGGGCGAAUUUUGAGGUUGUGCGAUGGUUGAUUUAUGCGGCAACAACUGAUUUGGAGGAGGUGCACUGGGGUUGUUUAUGUGGCUGGGCGAUGUGGCUGGGUGUUGUGGGGUUGUUGAAUUUGUUGUGAUGGUGGUGAUGGUGGUAAGGCGCGACGGUCAGCUGGGUCACUGGUUGUGAUGGGGUUUAGGAUUUGUUAGGGCUGGCAAAAGCUGACCCGACCCGACAACCCGACCCGAACCCAACCCGAAAUAAAUGGGUUUUGAUAGAGAUUUUCAACCCGUUUAUGUAAUUGGGUCAACCCGAACCCGACCUGAAGUUAAAUGGGUCGGGUUCAGGUUGAAAAUCCCAACCCGAAACCAACCCGCAUAAACCCGUUUAUUUAAUUGGGUCGGUUUCAGGUCGGGUCAACCCGAACCCAACCCGCUUAACUUAAAACCCUAAUUUAAAAAUAUGGGCCAAGCCCAAAUUAUCUAACCCUAAGCUUUUCCUCUUUCACUCGCCGCUUUCUUUCAGACUUUCACUCAAACUCUCUCUCUUCUCAGUUUCUCUCUCUUCUCUCCUCUCUUUUCUCUCUCUAACUCUUGAAGAUUGAAAUAAAAAUUCUUGAACCUUGAAGAUUGAAGCUUCAUCUCAAACAUUCUGAAGAUGGCUAAUAGCCCUAAUCCUGAUGAACCCAUUGAUCUUCCGGAUUCUGAUUCAGAUGAUGAAGUUUCUGAUUCUCAUCAAACGGAAUCAAAGAAGAAAACCUCUAAUGUCACCUCGCUGAAUAAGCCUGGAAUUCAUUUCAAGCGCCAACGAAAGCUCACUUCAGAUGUGUGGGCAAAUUUUGAAUUCCUUGAUAAACCUGACGAACAAGGUAACAUCAUUUGCAUGUGUAAAAAAUGUGGGCAGAAAUAUAAUGCUGAAAGUAGGCAAGGAACUGGUAAUUUAAAACGCCACAUUAAGAAAUGUAAAAAAAGGACCUUUAAAGAUGUGGGUCAGAUGAUUAUUGAUUCAA